rnacentral:rRNA from 1 species
GACGAACGCUGGCGGCGUGCUUAACACAUGCAAGUCGAACGGGCCCGCCCCUGUUUUUGGGGGUGGGUUGAGUGGCGAACGGGUGAGUAUCACGUGAGUAACCUGCCCCCUGCUCCUGGAUAACUGCUUGAAAGGGCGGCUAAUACGGGGUGUGCCGGCUGGUCCGCAUGGGCCUGGUCGGGAUAGUUUCAUCUUCGGGUGUUUCGGUGGGUGAUGGGCUCGCGGCCUAUCAGCUUGUUGGUGGGGUGAUGGCCCACCAAGGCGGUGACGGGUAGCCGGCCUGAGAGGGUGGGCGGCCGCACUGGGACUGAGACACGGCCCAGACUCCUGCGGGAGGCAGCAGUGGGGGGUAUUGCACAAUGGGCGGAAGCCUGAUGCAGCGACGUCGCGUGAGGGAUGGAGGCCUUCGGGUUGUGAACCUCUUUCUCCGGUGGUGAAGGCCCUGUCCGUUGCGGCGGGGUUGACGGUAGCCGGGUAUGAAGCGCCGGCUAACUACGUG